rnacentral:rRNA from 1 species
GAAACGACUGCUAAGACUGGAUAGGAGAUAAGAAGGCAUCUUUUUUUUUUUAAAAGACCUAGCAAUAGGUAUGCUUAGGGAAGAGCUUGCGUCACAUUAGUUAGUUGGUGGGGUAAUGGCCUACCAAGACGAUGAUGUGUAGCCGGGCUGAGAGGUCGAACGGCCACAUUGGGACUGAGACACGGCCCAAACUCCUACGGGAGGCAGCAGUAAGGAAUUUUCGGCAAUGGAGGAAACUCUGACCGAGCAAUGCCGCGUGAACGAUGAAGUAUUUCGGUACGUAAAGUUCUUUUAUUAGGGAAGAAAAGAUGGUGGAAAAACCAUUAUGACGGUACCUAAUGAAUAAGCCCCGGCUAACUAUGUGCCAGCAGCCGCGGUAAUACAUAGGGGGCAAGCGUUAUCCGGAAUUAUUGGGCGUAAAGGGUGCGUAGGCGGUUAAAUAAGUUUAUGGUCUAAGUGCAACGCUCAACGUUGUGAUGCUAUAAAAACUGUUUAGCUAGAGUUGGAUAGAGGCAAGUGGAAUUCCGUGUGUAGUGGUAAAAUGCGUAAAUAUACGGAGGAACACCAGAAGCGAAGGCGGCUUGCUGGGUCUUAACUGACGCUGAGGCACGAAAGCGUGGGGAGCAAACAGGAUUAGAUACCCUGGUAGUCCACGCCCUAAACGAUGAGUACUAAACGUUGGAUAAAACCAGUGUUGAAGUUAACACAUUAAGUACUCCGCCUGAGUAGUACGUACGCAAGUAUGAAACUUAAAGGAAUUGACGGGACUCCGCACAAGCGGUGGAUCAUGUUGUUUAAUUCGAAGGUACCCGAAAAACCUCACCAGGUCUUGACAUGCUUUUGCAAAGCUGUAGAAAUACAGUGGAGGUUAUCAGAAGCACAGGUGGUGCAUGGUUGUCGUCAGCUCGUGUCGUGAGAUGUUGGGUUAAGUCCCGCAACGAGCGCAACCCUUGUUGUUAAUUGCCAUCAUUAAGUUGGGGACUUUAGCAAGACUGCCAAUGAUAAAUUGGAGGAAGGUGGGGACGACGUCAAAUCAUCAUGCCCCUUAUGACCUGGGCUACAAACGUGAUACAAUGGGCUGUUACAAAGGGUAGCUAAAGUGUAAGCUUCUGGCGAAUCUCAAAAAAGCAGUCUCAGUUCGGAUUGAAGUCUGCAACUCGACUUCAUGAAGUUGGAAUCGCUAGUAAUCGCGAAUCAGCAUGUCGCGGUGAAUACGUUCUCGGGGUUUGUACACACCGCCCGUCA